rnacentral:rRNA from 1 species
UACGUAGGUGGCAAGCGUUGUCCGGAAUUAUUGGGCGUAAAGCGCACGUAGGCGGCUUAGCAAGUCGGAUGUGAAAUCCCUCGGCUCAACCAAGGAAGUGCAUCCGAAACUGCUGAGCUUGAGUACUUAAGAGGAUCGCGGAAUUCCCGGUGUAGAGGUGAAAUUCGUAGAUAUCGGGAGGAACACCAGUGGCGAAGGCGGCGAUCUGGGAAGAUACUGACGCUGAGGUGCGAAAGCGUGGGGAGCAAACAGGG